GGUUAAGCGACUAAGCGUACACGGUGGAUGCCCUGGCAGUCAGAGGCGAUGAAGGACGUGCUAAUCUGCGAUAAGCGUCGGUGAGGUGAUAUGAACCGUUAUAACCGGCGAUUUCCGAAUGGGGAAACCCAGUGUGUUUCGACACACUAUCAUUAACUGAAUCCAUAGGUUAAUGAGGCGAACCGGGGGAACUGAAACAUCUAAGUACCCCGAGGAAAAGAAAUCAACCGAGAUUCCCCCAGUAGCGGCGAGCGAACGGGGAGGAGCCCAGAGCCUGAAUCAGUGUGUGUGUUAGUGGAAGCGUCUGGAAAGGCGUGCGAUACAGGGUGACAGCCCCGUACACAAAAAUGCACAUAUUGUGAGCUCGAUGAGUAGGGCGGGACACGUGGUAUCCUGUCUGAAUAUGGGGGGACCAUCCUCCAAGGCUAAAUACUCCUGACUGACCGAUAGUGAACCAGUACCGUGAGGGAAAGGCGAAAAGAACCCCGGCGAGGGGAGUGAAAAAGAACCUGAAACCGUGUACGUACAAGCAGUGGGAGCCUCUUAAUGGGGUGACUGCGUACCUUUUGUAUAAUGGGUCAGCGACUUAUAUUCUGUAGCAAGGUUAACCGAAUAGGGGAGCCGAAGGGAAACCGAGUCUUAACUGGGCGUUAAGUUGCAGGGUAUAGACCCGAAACCCGGUGAUCUAGCCAUGGGCAGGUUGAAGGUUGGGUAACACUAACUGGAGGACCGAACCGACUAAUGUUGAAAAAUUAGCGGAUGACUUGUGGCUGGGGGUGAAAGGCCAAUCAAACCGGGAGAUAGCUGGUUCUCCCCGAAAGCUAUUUAGGUAGCGCCUCGUGAAUUCAUCUCCGGGGGUAGAGCACUGUUUCGGCAAGGGGGUCAUCCCGACUUACCAACCCGAUGCAAACUGCGAAUACCGGAGAAUGUUAUCACGGGAGACACACGGCGGGUGCUAACGUCCGUCGUGAAGAGGGAAACAACCCAGACCGCCAGCUAAGGUCCCAAAGUCAUGGUUAAGUGGGAAACGAUGUGGGAAGGCCCAGACAGCCAGGAUGUUGGCUUAGAAGCAGCCAUCAUUUAAAGAAAGCGUAAUAGCUCACUGGUCGAGUCGGCCUGCGCGGAAGAUGUAACGGGGCUAAACCAUGCACCGAAGCUGCGGCAGCGACACUAUGUGUUGUUGGGUAGGGGAGCGUUCUGUAAGCCUGUGAAGGUGGCCUGUGAGGGUUGCUGGAGGUAUCAGAAGUGCGAAUGCUGACAUAAGUAACGAUAAAGCGGGUGAAAAGCCCGCUCGCCGGAAGACCAAGGGUUCCUGUCCAACGUUAAUCGGGGCAGGGUGAGUCGACCCCUAAGGCGAGGCCGAAAGGCGUAGUCGAUGGGAAACAGGUUAAUAUUCCUGUACUUGGUGUUACUGCGAAGGGGGGACGGAGAAGGCUAUGUUGGCCGGGCGACGGUUGUCCCGGUUUAAGCGUGUAGGCUGGUUUUCCAGGCAAAUCCGGAAAACCAAGGCUGAGGCGUGAUGACGAGGCACUACGGUGCUGAAGCGACAAAUGCCCUGCUUCCAGGAAAAGCCUCUAAGCAUCAGGUAACAUCAAAUCGUACCCCAAACCGACACAGGUGGUCAGGUAGAGAAUACCAAGGCGCUUGAGAGAACUCGGGUGAAGGAACUAGGCAAA
rnacentral:rRNA from 1 species